rnacentral:lncRNA from 1 species
CAAAACUCUUACAGAAUAGGAAAUCCAAGCAGAGUAAAUAAAUUUUCCAGCAGUAAUAAAAAGAAGGCCAAAAGAAGAUAAUUAUGAUUAGAGCCAUACUUUUUGUGUUGCUUACCAUUGCUUUAUUUGCAAUGGUUGUUGGAUAUAGCGGCCCCCCGAAGCCAGUUAUUAUAAAUGCGUUCCAAGAUACAACUCCGGGGAUGAGGAUGGAGUAAUAGGCCGCUUUCGUUAAAAAGUCUACUAGCUCACCUGCUCACCACCUUCGAUACCAACGUGUGAUGAAACCCACUGGAAAUAGAUUUUUUUCUCUAAUUUAAGGAAGUUUCAAGUUUGCUUAAUUUCAAACAUGAUUUCAGUUUCAAAACAACGGUUUCACUGAUUAUAUGUGUAUAUAUUUUUGUAUUUUAAUAUCUAACUUAAAAAUGAGAACAUUAUUUUACGACUGUUAACAAAAAAUAUUCUUGUGUUAAAAGUACAUAUUUUAUUGAAAAUAACAUGCUGAAUAAAACAUUCAAUAACA